AGAGUUUGAUCCUGGCUCAGAUUGAACGCUGGCGGCAGGCCUAACACAUGCAAGUCGAGCGGAUGAAAGGAGCUUGCUCCUGGAUUCAGCGGCGGACGGGUGAGUAAUGCCUAGGAAUCUGCCUGGUAGUGGGGGACAACGUUUCGAAAGGAACGCUAAUACCGCAUACGUCCUACGGGAGAAAGCAGGGGACCUUCGGGCCUUGCGCUAUCAGAUGAGCCUAGGUCGGAUUAGCUAGUUGGUGAGGUAAAAGCUCACCAAGGCGACGAUCUGUAGCUGGUUUGAGAGAACGACCAGCCACACUGGGACUGAGACACGGCCCAGACUCCUACGGGAGGCAGCAGUGGGGAAUUUUGGACAAUGGGCGAAAGCCUGAUCCAGCAAUGCCGCGUGCAGGAAGAAGGCCUUCGGGUUGUAAACUGCUUUUGUCCGGAAAGAAAUGGUCUGGUCUAAUACCGUGGGGUCAUGACGGUACCGGAAGAAUAAGGACCGGCUAACUACGUGCCAGCAGCCGCGA
rnacentral:rRNA from 1 species